AAGUCGUAACAGGUUUCCGUAGGUGAACCUGCGGAAGGAUCAUUAACACGUAGUUGCUUUUCAACCCCUGUGAACUUGUCUGGAAGGUGUGCGAGCUUUGAUGGCCUAAAUCAGCCGCCGUAUGUUGGCUGUUGCCAAGUGUUUGCGCGGUCUGCGUGACUUCGCUACACAAGGCAUCUCCACACUGUAGUACGGCGCCCCUUUUUUGUCGUUUACUAAAUGAACUAAAUGUUACGGAUGGAACCAAGGGACUGCGGUUCUUUGGCAUCGUCUGAUUAGCAAACUGUUACAACUCUUAGCAACGGAUAUCUUGGCUCUC
rnacentral:misc_RNA from 1 species